rnacentral:lncRNA from 1 species
AAACAAAAUUAUAAAAAAAAAAAAAAAAACUCCUCAUAUAUAUUUGAUUUACAGUAUAUAAAAAAUAAUUAUUUUUAAAAGACUUCUAAGUAGACUCAAUGUUUGUAACAAUUCAUAAGAAUUUUUCACUAAAAAUAACAUUUUUUUUUUCUUUUUAUGAUGGUGAUUUGACGAUUUUGUUUUUAAAAUAUUUGAAAUUUAGGUUAGAACACUAUAAUGGAUAAAAGAAAAAGCUAAAAUUUAAUUUAAAUUAUAGCAAGAAAGAAUAUUAAGUUAUAUGAUUAUUAAAUAAUUUUUUAUCUAAAAUAUUAUUAAUUAUAUGACAACAUAAUUUUAAUUAAAUAUCUUAACUUAAAAAAUAAAUGUGUUAUGUAUAUAUACGAAGUGAAAGAAAAAAGUUGUUUUGCCCUUAAGGAUUUAGGACCUUGUGAGUCCCACCUCUCAUAACUCCCUUUGAUCGUAGCAUGAAUGAAGUAGAGCCCAUGUGUCAUUCAAGACAAAUCCUUAUUUACAAGGGUGGAAGAGGAGGAAAUAGUUGAGCCCUAAAUUCCGUGUAGGCUUAAGUUACCAAUUUGUGUUGAAAACUGAGAUAAAGAACCAAUCUCACAAAGGGAAUUAUAGUUAAGCGACCAAUGCAUAAUAAAAAGAAUUGAGAGACCAAAGUGAAGUUAGAAAUUAGAAAAUAAGAGACAAAAAAUAAUAAUUUAGUCAAAUUUUUUUUUGUCUUGCUAAUGGGUGUCAUAAGCAAAUUGGUUAAAGAGUUUAUAAAAAUAAACUUGUCUUGAAAAUUUAAGUCAAACACUAAUCAUCUUUUAUAUAAUAUAUUAAAAUAGACUCACAAAUCAAUUAAAUAACAACUUACAUCCUUGUGUGUUAGAUCAUAGUAUUUGUGUCACAUCAUUUAUAUUCUUAUGUGGCGCCUUAAUAAGUUUCUACAAUUUAUCUUACAUCUUUAAUCAAUUUAGCUUUUGC